rnacentral:rRNA from 1 species
UGGGGAAUUUUGGACAAUGGGCGAAAGCCUGAUCCAGCAAUGCCGCGUGUGUGAAGAAGGCCUUCGGGUUGUAAAGCACUUUUGUCCGGAAAGAAAUCCUUGGCUCUAAUACAGUCGGGGGAUGACGGUACCGGAAGAAUAAGCACCGGCUAACUACGUGCCGGCAGCCGCGGUAAUACGUAGGGUGCAAGCGUUAAUCGGAAUUACUGGGCGUAAAGCGUGCGCAGGCGGUUUGCUAAGACCGAUGUGAAAUCCCCGGGCUCAACCUGGGAACUGCAUUGGUGACUGGCAGGCUAGAGUAUGGCAGAGGGGGGUAGAAUUCCACGUGUAGCAGUGAAAUGCCGUAGAGAUGUGGAGGAAUACCGAUGGCGAAGGCAGCCCCCUGGGCAAUACUGACGCUCAUGCACGAAAGCGUGGGGAGCAAACAGGAUUAGAUACCCUGGUAGUCCACGCCCUAAACGAUGUCAACUAGUUGUUGGGGAUUCAUUUCCUUAGUAACGUAGCUAACGCGUGAAGUUGACCGCCUGGGGAGUACGGUCGCAAGAUUAAAACUCAAAGGAAUUGACGGGGUCAUAGCUGUUUCCU